rnacentral:rRNA from 1 species
CAAUAGCGUAUAUUAAAGUUGUUGCGGUUAAAAAGCUCGUAGUUGGAUUUCUGUUGGGAACGACCGGUCCGCCCAUUGGGUGUGUAUCUGGCUUGUUCUCGGCAUCUUCUUGGUGAACGUUGCUGCACUUGACUGUGUGGAGCGCUACCCAGGACUUUUACUUUGAGGAAAUUAGAGUGUUUCAAGCAGGCAUAUGCCUUGAAUACAUUAGCAUGGAAUAAUAAGAUAGGACCUCGGUUCUAUUUUGUUGGUUUCUAGAGCUGAGGUAAUGAUUAAUAGGGAUAGUUGGGGGCAUUCGUAUUUAACUGUCAGAGGUGAAAUUCUUGGAUUUGCUAAAGACGGACUACUGCGAAAGCAUUUGCCAAGGAUGUUUUCAUUGA